GCAGAGGUAGUAGAAGCAGAUAUCUGCGGAAAUGAGUCAAAAUGAACUCGUUGUGUUGCUGCUCAAAGGCCAGGCUCCAUCCCAAUCAGCGAGAGUUACCCAACUCCUGCCAUGUGAAGAUUGGCUUUGGCUCCUUCUUUGAGUGCAUUCCAGGAGAAGGAGACACUGCUGUUCUCGUGGCCUAGCUCUGCACCCUCAAAGACGUCACGGCUAAAUUCAUGGGAUAUGACUGCCAGCCUCAGUCCUAUGUUAACAGCAGCAAACUCAUUCUCAACUCAGCAGGUGAUCCUUAAACAUGAACUUUAAAGCUGCAUGGGUGGACUGAUUGGUGUCAGAGCUGGCCAAGUGCAGUGUUUCUCUGCUUGGACUAUAGCCUGGUGUAACCUGCGCCAGAAAAGGCCAUACACUUCAACAACAGACAGACUUUGGCUCAUUUGCUUCCAAAUGCUACGUUCUGCUGCACAAGUUCUGCUGCUGCACUUCGGGGCUAUGCUUGGAAUAAAGCUUGAGAACUCAUUUUCACCAUCUUCUCUUCCCGAGCUUUGGGAUCCUCGUCAUUUCUCUGAAUGUUGGCUGAGCCCUCUGAGUAAUCACAAGGUGGCCCCCGGACAGUCGGGGGGGAGCACCCACAGUGAGGGUCAGCCGGACCCCGAUUGCAUGCUGAUAUCCAGAGUGGCUCAAAUCCAUAUUAUGCGUGGUGAAGGCGAAUUGAAUCUCCCGUGUCCUCCUUCGCAUCCUCUGGCCCCUGCUGGCACCUCCGCCCGCACCGCUGGCCUCUCCUGCAUUUGUGAUUGCCCUGUACCAUGGCUCACGCACUGGGGGAUGAGGAGCCAAGAAAUAAUGAGGGCUGAAAUCCUGGAGAAACCUGGUGCCAAAACAGCUGGACAACUCCAGCCCAGCACUCCGGCAAAGCACGCUUCUCUGGGAGGAUUUUCGGUUCCUGCUGGAGGCCUGGGAAGGACGGGGACCCUCACCUCCAUCCGACUCCAGCACUCACUGAAGAAUGGUAAUCCUGAGCCGCUAAAGGUGGAAAAGCCCAGAAGAAAGAUGUGGCACUCAAACACCCCAAGUUACCAGACCUGCCUAGCAUGCACCUGCCCCAAGCAGCUUCCCCUUCUUGUCUCCAUGUGUCCUGUUGUCUUCACCACCUCCAAGGAAUGACUGCAUGUGAGGAGUGCAGGGAUCUCUGCUGGGAAGAAGGAUCUGCUUUGUGAAGUCUCAGCCUUUUUUUCCUCAUUAGAGGUCAUUUAUUUCAUGUCAGGACUGUUGGAUUGUCGUGGUACUUUCUCAGGGGUGUAAACUAGAUCAUUGCACUAACCUCAUCUUAGAAAUUUUCACGUCACUUUAUCAUCCUUAAGAGCACUUAAAAGCUCACAGGGCCUGGUUUUGGGUCUUCUGUAACAGAUCUUGGAUCCACUGAAUUACAAUAGCACGAAAGGCUUUGGGGCAAAAGAUGGAGUGGAAAAUGUGAUAGCUGUUCUGUGAUUAAAAAACCAAAAACAAAUAGCAGAGACUGUUCUUUCUACACAGGGGGUUUCGUGUAUAGGAGUUUACUAACUCAGUUAAAAAUAAACCAGCCCCAAAUUGACUGACAUGAAAAGUCAGUUUAAAAAAAAAAGAGAGCUUAUAAACUGUAGGAAACAAAAUGAUUUUUGGAAACAUAUUUUCCCUUAAUUGGACAUCUAUUUCUAGAUGGAGUCAUUUGUGUAUGGAAUCCAGCCGUAUGGCUUUUGUUUGACAGUGAGAUGAUCAGUUCCUCGAAGUGUGAACGUCACGUGGAGAACCCCAUCAGUGCCUUAAAAAGGAUUCCUGCCCUAGCAGGGCUUUGUCAGCAAUGUCAGAGGGUGCGGAAUCAAGCUGUGUUGUAAUCCCUAAUUGUAUGUCAUCACAUAAUGACCUUUUAAUGGUAGUGAUGGCUUUGUGGGUUGUAGUUAGAGCCCCAGGGAGGGGUGGACUCCCAUGUGCUGGGUGCUGCAAAGGGCAGGUAUAGCACAGAGGCUGUUGGUUUUACAGGCCUUACAGGAAAGGCAAGUUGAUGUGGAUCUGGGUAUAGGCAGGACAGGCAGCUGCCUUGAGCAGCAGUCUGCUGGAUAGACAUAAGGCAGCCCUGCUCCUGCAGCUGACCUUGCCUCUGCCAGGACCCUUGAGGAGGGCUGGGGCUCCUGACAGACGUUGGUGGUGGGGUGAUAACUAAUGCUGGGAAGAGCAGCCACCGCCCCCAGUACUUUCUUUCCUCCAAAUGACUGCAGGAGCAUCUACCCCUACUCUUAAGAGCUCUGCCAGCCCUCCAUCUCCUUUUACAUUCUCUCUUCUUAACUCUUUCCUUCCCACAGCAAAAUUGACCUGUCCAGGCUCCUCAUCCCGCAGAUGUCAAAGCUUGUGAGACUCUAAUGAUAGGGCUCUUUUAAAAGCCCAGUCCAACCAGAUCGCAAGCCUCCCCGAUCCCCUUCCUCCGCUCUGAUCUCACUGCCAUCAGUGGAAGUCGUGGGUGCUCAGCAUCAGGCAUGCCCACUGUUGUUUGACUUCCAGAGACCUACAUGUAGAAAUGUACUGCUGUUUCUCUGCAGUACCUUCCAAAAGGGUGAGUUUCAUGCCUGUUCUAAUUUAUUUCCAUGAGUUUGCCAGUAGGCCAUUCUGUAAACAGAGAUAGAGCUGAAGGAAGCAGACACAGCUCUGUUUAUCAGAGAGAUGUGAAGGAUGAUGAUGUUUCACACUAUGAGCAGGUUACAUCAGAGAUAUUUCCAAACCCUGUAACCUUUUCUACCCUGCUCCUUGAAUGGUACUGUAGGCUACAGUUGUACUAGAAAAUUAAAUGUAGGAUCUUUCUCUGGCACUGAAACCAACUGGAAUGGAAAGGUCUGCAUUCACUUCAUUAAACCUCAUUACCCUCCAGAAGUGGGCGGCUGCCUGCAAACCCCUUAGGAAGAAUUGUUCCUGGCCUGGGCUAAAUCAACAGACUGCUUGAAGGGAUUGUCUGGGAGGACCCCUCCUUGGUCCGGGUCAAAACUGUGCGAGGGAACGUACAAACAAUUUAACAGAGUGGGUGAUUCAGUUCUGGAGUCUGGGUACACACCCUGACACCAUUUAAUGUAUUAAUAUAGUCAUGGCCAAGGUGCCUCUUGCCUUUGAGCAUUUGAUUUUGUAAACCCUCUAACACAACCGCCACCUUCAAAGCCCUUUUUUCUGUGUCGGGGUGAGAGGUGACAGUGGACCAGAGAAGGAAAGAUGGAGGCAGCAUAAGCCCUGCUGGAGGGGAGAAAAAAAGAGCAGCAGGCAGGAAUCUCCCAUACAGGAUCUCCCUCUUUGCAGGGCAGAGACUUGUGUCGCUCCACCUCCUAGCAGGAAAAUACCAGAGACUGUAAUCACCCAAGUGGGAAAUGCUCCCAGCUUUCUUGGUGGCAUCUGUUUCUUAGUCUCCCCCUGCCUGAAUGUGCAUUUGCUGUUUCUGUGAGGAGACAGGAGGUGCGAAGCUGCGCUCCCCAGGCUGGGGAAGAAGUCAAGGCUUCUAGCCAAGGAUGAGACCUGUACUUCCAAUAGAUAAGUUGCCACUUUAACCACUGUUCUUUAACCAGCUUCUCAAGUUUUCUGGUCAGAUAUAAAAGAGCAAGUCUUUGGGGUAUUAGUUUCCAGUGUCUUUGGUUAACACUUGAGAUCAACACCUCCAGCUUUUUGGGCUUGCAUCAGAUUACAUGCUAGUAUGGGCUCACCCUGGCAACAUGUUCUUACAGCAAAUUUGGAGGCACAGGCUUUUGUGAUACCUUGCAUGGGCUGGUGCUUUCACAUCAACCCAGCAAGUCACUGGUGCCCAACUACUACUGCUGGCCUGAUGUCAAACCCCAGACCCCAGGAAUAGUACUCCUGGUCAGUUAGUUAGAGGGGACGUCUGACACGGUCAUCUCCUUAGACAUUUUUUUGUUCAUCUGAGUUUGCUUCCCAAAGUCUCCUGUUUUCCUCAGAAUUACUUCUGCUUCAGUUGAAACUAAAGGCUUAUUUUUCUUUUCUUUUCCUGUCUCCUUCUGAGAAGGAGAGUGCAGCCUGCAGACAGCCAAAGCCUGAGCUCAGGAGUGCAGUGCUGGAAUGCCUCUCCUGGGUCAGGGUGUCCAUUUCCUGACUGCAACAGCCUAUCAUGUCACACAAGCUCCUUCAUAAUGCGUCAAACUUAUCUUUAAAAAUAGUCAGGCUUCUUGUCUCUGGCCUCUGGAGCAGAGGCAGAAAGUGAAACUUUUAAAACUGUCUCAAAGAAACAUUUCCUGUCCACAGGACAGACUUCACCUGGUGACAGCUCUGUUUGCUUAAUUUUUCCCAGUUCCUGCACGCUUCUUUGCGCAUUCUCUUCUCUGCCCCUUCCAGGCUCCAGAAAGUAAAUUCACUCCAGCCGUUUGGGGGAACCUGAAGAUUAACUCUUGCCACGUCUUGGCCUGACCUUUUUCGAUAUACUCAGCUGCUCCCUCUCAGCCCCUCCUGGCAAACAGGCAGGCAGUACAUCCCACCACAAAGCAGUUUCUGGCUAAAUGCCCAUAUUCAGCUGGAGUCAUGUCAAGGCAUGGGCCACUUUGACGUUUCCUGUAACAGCGGACAACUGUUGGACCGGUUAUCAUGCGUCAGGCCUUUGUGAGGUUGCUGCCUUGCUGGCAUAGUGUCAAAGACCUGUGCGUCCCUAAAGUCACCCUGCUAGCUUGUUAGUGUGGUGCCAACAUACUCUGGUCCCUCUGAGGCUGCUGACCCCAAGCUCUGGGCUCAGCUGUGCUUUUCUGUAAGCAUCCCAGGAUCAAGCUGUUUGAACAUGGCACAGUUUACUCAGUGAGCCUUGCAUAACUGGCCUUGCAUAGCACUACAAAGCUCCCACAGUGCUCUCUUUUUGACUUCUCACUUCUGAAGUUAAAGUAAUUUUGGCUGGCUGUAUGCUUAUUUCUGGGAUGGUCUGUGGCUGUGCCCCACAACAGACUUGUUGGAGCAUGCUAUGCAUCUGUUGGAGCAUACCACGAGUCCCUUUUUAGGGUAUUCACCCAGGCUUCCUUCCUCUGCAGACCAAAACAGUGUGUCAUGUCUGGUAUGGGACACAGGAUAAGCAGUGUGGCAUGGAAAUUCAGAAAGACUUCUGUCAUCUAGGCUUACUCUUUACAGUACAGUUUCUAAUGCUUUGCCUGGCACCACUGUUUACUUGCGUGAAGAAGGACAAGCCAGGGGAAGACCCUCAGUUCUGGCAGUUCUUUGUCACUCUCUGUAUUGUUGCCAUAGCAUGAAAUGACAUCUGAUGGCUUUGUGAGAUGGGAUACAACCUGUUGCAGAGAAGAAUCACUGUGACAUGUACGAAAAGCCCUUGUCUCCUCAGCCAUCUCCCUAGAAGUGCCAGAAGGGAAUAGACUGGAAACUACAUCUGUGGAGACUCUGGUAGCGGGCUUGAGCAUACCUUCAAGGUUAUGGACUAAAAGCCAUCAAGCAGGCACAAACAUGGCACUGCAGUACGCAACAACGUGCAGGUGGUGAGGACAGUCAGAGCACAGGGGCUGACAUGCAAAAUGGGGAAUACCUGGCAGUGUAGACACAGCUCAACAGAGCCAUUUGGUUUCCUCUUGAUUCUGGCUAAGCAGAAAAAAGAGGAAGCUUUCACCUGAAGUUUAGGAGGGCUAGAAAUAGCUAGAAAGUGCUAUCUUUCCCUGUCUGGACUUUUUGUGAAAAGCUAGAGGGCAACAGAAGAGGACAGGACCUUUCUAGAGAAGAAUGGCAGCUGACACAGGACUUAGAGCUAAUUUAGAGAUAAUUUUCCCACUCACUUGCUAAUGCUGUUCUUCCUACUGCCUCAAAGUCUUGG